ACCAUUAGAGCAGCAUUCCUCUCCCCUCCAAAAGAAGAGAGCGCUGCAUUUUUCGCCCCAAGCAUGGCUUACCGUACAAGAUCUGCGAGUGCGCCUUCCAGCCGUUGCUCCAACGAACCCAGCAUCGAGGAUCAGCUGCAGAUUCAUUAACGAAACCAUCCGAGGAGGCUUGGAAGUGUGUCUACAACGACAUUUAGGAGAUCAUGUGCUUGACUAGCAACCAAGUCAGCCUGUGCCAACCAAAGCAAAGGAAAGCAGUGGAGGACGAGGUUGAGCGCGCGCUCCCUCUCUCUCUCCUGUUGCUUGAUUUCUUCGGUGCCAUGCAAGAGAGCAAGCUCGAGCAUUCAGGAGACAGGAGGUGCAACUGAUUAUCAAAAGGGGAGACGUUGAAGCCAAGAUUCAGUUUCGAACCCUAAAUAUGCUUUGUAAAGAAGAUGCAGAGAGCUGGAGGAGGUUCAAGAAGAUUAACAAUAGGUCUACCUUCAGCUAACCAGGAGAGCUGCAGGGUGGUCAAGCUGUUGGGUGAAGCUAGAGAUAUUGCUGUCUCAAUUCUCGAGUCCUCGUCACAUUUCCUGUCAAAGCAGAUUGCAGCAAAGUUCUAGCAAGUGGUCUUUCAACCACAAGACAUUUCCUAAAGAGAAGAGUUCUAUGUGAAGUGGAUCAGUUACAAGCCUAAAGCCUUGGAGUUGGACAUUGUAUAUCUUCAGUGUAGAUUUGGGACUUUGUUCUAAAAAAAAACUAUCCAAAGCAGAGUUUCCC